rnacentral:lncRNA from 1 species
UUCUUAACAAGAAAAAAAUCAAAAGAAUCAAUAAGAUGAUGAACUGUUAAGAGAUAAGAGAUGAUAUCUGUUAUAUUAACUUUGUUUGGAAUAAAUAUGGCGGAAUGUGCGGCUUGUCCAUCGUUGGGCUUGCCCGAAGUCGCGACUGAGUCGGCGAAUCGUACGAUCUUAGGGAAAAUUUUCCAAAUUUUGAUUGACUCGUAUAUAAGCCGACCCCUUUUUCAAAAAUUUUAUUAUGGUAAAAAAUCUUUUGACUUAUAUACAAGUAUAUACGAUAUUCGUUAUAGACAAUAGAGAGUUUCCGCGCAGCUACGACUCGCCCUUACCGAUAACUGAACGACAAAAUCGUAUCGUUUCGGAAAGUUAUCGGCUGUCGCUUAAGCAACUCCGACUUAGUUCGAACCUCCGACACCAAAUGCUCUAUUAUCAUAAAUUCUCUCUAUUCUCGUAAUUUUUUUCUAAUCUAUUCUCUAUUAUCUC